rnacentral:rRNA from 1 species
GUCUGCAGCCAUGCCACCCUGAACACACCUAAUCUCGUCUGAUCUCAGAAGCUAAACAGGGUCAGGCCUAGUUAGUACUUGGAUGGGACACUACCUAGGAAGACCAGGUGCUAUAGGGG